GAGGUUAUAGCUCAGUGGUAGAGCGCAUGCUUAGCAUGCACGAGGUCCUGGGUUCAAUCCCCAGUACCUCCA
rfam:Camelus ferus unplaced genomic scaffold scaffold765, whole genome shotgun sequence.